UCUUCAUGUUUGGUUUCUUAGGUGCAGAGGCCUGUGAACUACGAAGACCAGUUGUCUCCCCCAAAACACACCUGACAACUACUGGUACCUGGAAUACAGACGUGAUGGCUGGCAUUUUCGCUGCCAGUUUGGAUUAUGAAGAUGAGAUGGGAGAAUAGUGAGCUGGAUUGAAAC
rnacentral:lncRNA from 1 species